rfam:Bombyx mori DNA, contig: Bm_scaf34_contig20658, strain: p50T/Dazao, build 2, whole genome shotgun sequence.
UUAACUUAAAUUUGUUUGGAGUUGGAACGUUUGCCUACGUUUGCCGGUAGGGGCGCUGUUCCAACUGCAUACAAAUUUGAGCGA